AAUUGAAGAGUUUGAUCAUGGCUCAGAUUGAACGCUGGCGGCAGGCCUAACACAUGCAAGUCGAGCGGUAGCACGGGAGAGCUUGCUCUCUGGGUGACGAGCGGCGGACGGGUGAGUAAUGUCUGGGAAACUGCCUGAUGGAGGGGGAUAACUACUGGAAACGGUAGCUAAUACCGCAUGAC
rnacentral:rRNA from 1 species